rnacentral:rRNA from 1 species
ACUCCUACGGGAGGCAGCAGUGGGGAAUAUUGCACAAUGGGCGAAAGCCUGAUGUAGCAACGCCGCGUGAGCGAUGAAGGCCUUCGGGUCGUAAAGCUCUGUCCUCAAGGAAGAUAAUGACGGUACUUGAGGAGGAAGCCCCGGCUAACUACGUGCCAGCAGCCGCGGUAAU